UUUAAUGGGAGCAGUAUAUAAUGUGGAUUACAGUGGCUUUCACUAAAGUACAAUUAGUCCUGAAACAUAAAUGGAUGGUGUUCUUUUGAGCUAUAAACAAGUAAUAAUAAUACAAAAACAUCAAAUUAAAAGAUUAUACAAAAGCAGUUCUUAAAAACAAGAGGAUAUUGGAUAAAAACAUACUGCAAAACAUUCCUUCAUUUUCUAGGCACUUUUAGUUGCAAAAGUCAAAGUCCAGCUUUUAUUUGAUUGUACACCAGAUGAAAAGCAUUCAGUCCAAAACUGCCACAGGAAGUUCAACUGCAUGAGGAAUUGAAGAGUUUGUAGGAAAUAAAAAUUCUUAAAUACACCAGUUGCCAAUAUAACCUUCAAUAUUAACGUUGACAUUUCAAGUGUCAUUUAGAAAGCUUCUAUAUAUUGAAUUUUGUAGGUAGUGUUUUUCAGAACAAAGAGAGACAUGUGGAUGAAUAAAAAUGUAAUUAAUAAUGGCUUAGGAAAUAUUUGCAAUUUCAGGUGGCAUUGCAUAUGUAUUUAUUACAAUAACACAGUCCCCUCUGAGCACCUAAAAGUAAAUAUUAAGAACAGGUACUCAGGAACACUUUAUUUUAAGGGUCCGCAGGUUGCAUCUUGCAGAAAGAGACAUUUGGAGACUCCUCCAACAGGUGGUGAUAAAGAUCAAGUCCAAAUUUAGAAAAUAUAGUGGAACAUCAAAUUAUGUCAAAGACGAUCACUGUUGUAGCCAUUUUAUGAAAAUGAUUUGUGUUAAACUAUUUAAAGGUUUAUUUUUCAAUUAUUAUUAUUGAAAAUUAUAUAUUUUGAUCAUAAAAACAAUUGUAAAUUAUAAUAAUAAGUUGUAUUAAUGAAAUGGUAACACUUUCUAUAAAGCCCAUAUUUAUAAUGCAUACAUUCAUAAUGUGUCAUAACACACCUUAUAAUAAGUAAUAAUGUCUCAUAAAUAGUUAUAACUACAGUUAUUAUACAUUAUAAGAUUCCUCUAUUCAUAGUUCUACUUUAGAGUAUAAUGCGUUAUAACACAAGUCAUUAUUAUAACGCGUUAUACACUAUGAAUAGGUCGUUAUUAUAACGCGUUAUACACUAUGAAUAGGUCGUUAUUAUAACGCGUUAUACACUAUGAAUAGGUCGUUAUUAUAACGCGUUAUACACUAUGAAUAGGUCGUUAUUAUAAUGCGUUAUACACUAUGAAUAGGUCGUUAUUAUAAUGCGUUAUACACUAUGAAUAGGUCGUUAUAAUAAUGCGUUAUACACUAUGAAUAGGUCGUUAUUAUAAUGCUUAUACUCUAUGAAUAGGUCGUUAUUAUAAUACGUUAUACACUAUGAAUAGGUCGUUAUUAUAACGCGUUAUACACUAUGAAUAGGUCGUUAUUAUAACGCGUUAUACACUAUGAAUAGAUCGUUAUUAUAAUGCGUUAUACACUAUGAAUAGGUCUUUAUUAUAACGCGUUAUACACUAUGAACGGGUCGUUAUUAUAACGCGUUAUACACUAUGAAUAGGUCAUUAUUAUAAUGUGUUAUACUCUAUGAAUGGGUCGUUAUUAUAGUGCGUUAUGCACUAUGAAUAGGUCAUUAUUACAAUGUGUUAUACACUAUGAAUAGGUCAUUAUCAGAAUGAGUUAUACACUAUGAAUAGGUCAUUAUUAUAAUGCGUUAUACACUAUGAAUGGGUCGUUAUUAUAGUGCGUUAUGCACUAUGAAUAGGUCAUUAUUAUAAUGUGUUAUACACUAUGAAUAGGUCAUUAUCAGAAUGAGUUAUACACUAUGAAUAGGUCAUUAUUAUAAUGCGUUAUACACUAUGAAUAGGUCAUUAUUAUAACGCGUUAUACACUAUGAAUAGGUCAUUAUCAGAAUGCGUUAUACACUAUGAAUAGGUCAUUAUUAUAACGCGUUAUACUCUAUGAAUAGGUCAUUGUUAUAAUGCGUUAUACUCUAUGAAUAGGUCAUUGUUAUAAUGCGUUAUACUCUAUGAAUAGGUCAUUAUUAUAACGCGUUAUACACUAUGAAUAGGUCAUUAUUAUAAUGUGUUAUACACUAUGAAUAGGUCAUUAUUAUAACGCGUUAUACACUAUGAAUAGGUCAUUAUUAUAAUGCGUUAUACACUAUGAAUAGGUCAUUAUUAUAAUGCGUUAUACACUAUGAAUAUGAAUAGGUCAUUAUUAUAUCGCGUUAUACACUAUGAAUAGGUCAUUAUUAUAACUCGUUAUACUCUAUGAAUAGGUCAUUGUUAUAAUGCGUUAUACUCUAUGAAUAGGUCAUUGUUAUAAUGCGUUAUACUCUAUGAAUAGGUCAUUAUUAUAACGCGUUAUACUCUAUGAAUAGGUCAUUAUUAUAAUGCGUUAUACACUAUGAAUAGGUCAUUAUUAUAACGCGUUAUACACUAUGGAUAGGUCAUUAUUAUAAUGUGUUAUACACUAUGAAUAGGUCAUUAUUAUAACGCGUUAUACACUAUGAAUAGGUCAUUAUUAUAAUGCGUUAUACACUAUGAAUAGGUCAUUAUUAUAAUGCGUUAUACACUAUGAAUAUGAAUAGGUCAUUAUUAUAUCGCGUUAUACACUAUGAAUAGGUCAUUAUUAUAACUCGUUAUACUCUAUGAAUAGGUCAUUGUUAUAAUGCGUUAUACUCUAUGAAUAGGUCAUUGUUAUAAUGCGUUAUACUCUAUGAAUAGGUCAUUAUUAUAACGCGUUAUACUCUAUGAAUAGGUCAUUAUUAUAAUGCGUUAUACACUAUGAAUAGGUCAUUAUUAUAACGCGUUAUACACUAUGGAUAGGUCAUUAUUAUAAUGUGUUAUACACUAUGAAUAGGUCAUUAUUAUAAUGUGUUAUACACUAUGAAUAGGUCAUUAUUAUAAUGCGUUUUACACUAUGAAUAAGUCAUUAUCAGAAUGAGUUAUACACUAUGAAUAGGUCAUUAUUAUAAUGCGUUAUACACUAUGAAUAGGUAAUUAUCAGAAUGAGUUAUACACUAUGAAUAGGUCAUUAUUAUAACGCGUUAUACACUAUGAAUAGGUCAUUGUUUUAACGCGUUAUACUCUAUGAAUACGUCAGGAGUUGGAGUAAAAUAUAAUGGAUUAUAUAAUAGGAUGCAGAUGGAUCAAUAACCGAAGAACCUCACUAUAAAUUGCACUUGACCUGAUUAACGUCCGAUUUCACCAAACCCACUUGCGCCUUGACUUGGCGCACGACUGCACGAAAAUACCAAAACUUCCUGGCCAUGGCCAAUGACUUCGCGUGUAUGAGUUAUGACACUGCGCUGCACUGUCUGCUUAAAUAUAGGGCCCUAACUUAGUUAGCCUUUAUUUACAUUCAGUUAAUUUUAAACUACUGUAUUAUUCAUGCUAAAAUAGCCUUAUUAUGUAUUCAGUUAAUUGAGCAUUAAUUGCAUGACGUUUAUUAUGUUUUGUUGCUUAACUAAUGCAUUAUUGUGGACCCUUAAAAUAAAGUGUUCCCAUUUUCUCUUAUAUCUCACAAACACACACACACACACACACACACACACACACACACACACACACACACACACACACACACACACACACAUCAUUUA